GCAGUCGUGGCCGAGUGUUUAAGGUGAUAGACUAGAAAUCUAUUGGGGUCUCCCUGCACAGGUUCGAAUCUUGUCGACUGCA
rnacentral:tRNA from 2 species